UUGAUGUAUUUGUAAGGCGCAGGAUUUAAACGUCUUACUUUGAUCACAAUAGUGCAAUGUGUUUAAGGUUAAAUUUGUUUUUAUUUAACAGUACCUAUAUUUAUAAAUAUUUAAUUUUUGAUUUUUUAAAGCUAUUUUGGCAUCUUUCUAGUUGACAUAACCGGAAAAAAGACAAUUAAAAUGCGUCAGGUAUUAAAUAAACCUCUUUAUUUAGCUUUUAUCAUCUGACAAACUUUUUCAUCAGAACUUUCUCAUAGAUCAACUUGGCAUCAAAGGUCCAAAAGUGUGUCAGAGAAGUUAAGAAGAAGCGAAACACCGACAUCCGACCGUUCACGAAACCCUCUAUUUACAAAUAGGUAGUCUGUUUUCAGCUCGACCGCGGAGCUUCCUCCGUCUCUCCUCACACCGCAAUCCGCAGAAACGCACGCUGCUGUCCUCUGUCCUUUGCAAAGGUGAAACGAAUAAGAUUAAAACGAACAAAGAGAAACUUCUGUAAGUGUACCAUCAAGGUUUUACUCCACAGAUAGGGAAGAGAGCGAGAGGGGAGAGAGGGAGAGGGACAGCGAAUGGGAACACAAGGCACGCAUGAAAACAGCUCUGAAGAAAUGGUAAAGUGGACACUUGGACAUUCAAAGUGCGAGCGCCCAGCGACUGAAACGGGCGAAUCAUCUAACUGCCAGUGUGGGGCUCUGUUGAAUGCGUGAUUAAGGUGGCCGUCACUGGGGAUGAAGAAAAACAGAUUCUCAAAGAUGGGCAGCUAUGAGAUGUCGUCAGGCUUUAGGUGGAAAAACACAUGCACAUGGUUUGAUUAUACUUAUUAAUACACAUACACUUACACCCACAGAUGUAAAAACAUCACCUGCAUCUCCGUUUACACGUCAGCCUCUUGAACUGUACAUCGAGUGUCCCUCUAUCAGUUCUAUCUGCCUGCAAAGCAAAAGAAUGCAGCCAUCAUUUCCAAACACACAUUCCUCUUCACCUCUUAAAACAUCAGCUUUUGAUAAAUAUAGGCAGGUUACCAGAGCUUUUAUUUAAAAAUCUGUGAAACAGCGUGUUUUCAAAAGUGAAAGAGGACCGAUUACAGACAGCUGUGGCACUCCAAAUGUGCCUCUCCACCCCAUGGUUAGGACAGCAGUUAGUGAGGGACUUCCUGCAUGGAAAGCUGUGUAUGUUUUCCUUCAGUGAAUUGAACAUCCUGCAGAUCUUAAAUUCCAGUCAGCAGUAAACUCCCUGACCUCUGAGCACAAAAUUAGGCACAUCAUACAAGCAAAAGACAAGAGGGAAAGAAAGGCAUGCAAAACAGAACAGAAAGAUGGAAAUAAAAGAAAGAUGACAGUGUGAUUAAUUAUAACCUAUAUGCUACAUAACCAAAACAGUUCAAGCUAAUGAUAGUUUUCAUUUUUGUAAAAUAUACAAACUAUUUCUCUAUUUCUGACCAUAUGUUAUCAAGUUAAUUCAGUCAAAUUUUGAAAUAGUGUUUGCUUGAAUAAAACCAGUUCAUUUAAGUUGUUAAAACAUGGAACACAUUUGUUAGGUUACAUGAUGACAAACAUUUUUUUGCAGUAUAGCUAAUCACAGGAAAAUGUGGAACAAUGAACAAA